CAGAGUGCAGAGAUGAUAUGAAUCCAAAGAUGAAAAAAACGGCAUCAGAUCUGUGACGCUCUGACUCGUUCUGUGAAGGAAGACCUAAAGUCCAUCCGUCGUUCCCGAGUAGAGCUGACUGGGUUCCGUACAAGCUCCCACGGGGUUGAUCUGCAGGUCGGGUCCUGGACAUUCCUGCAUUUGCUCCUCUCCAUUUGCCCCACCCCCCGUAUGGAGAAAUGCAAAACAUGGCUGGAAACCAUUUAGACUCAAACGAGAGGAUGAACGGGUUUUCUUUAAGUAACAGCGUUUGUCUUCUCAUACAAAUGCAGCAACUGCUGGUUUCUCCAUUAGCAUCAUCAAGUGGAUUGUUUUUUUGUUUUUUAAAAGAUUUCUCUAGUAUGAAGUUCCUUGUACCCAGAGUUGUUAAGAGUACUGCACAUUGGAAAGUGUAAAAAAUUACCCAACAAGCACACAAACCCCUUCUGUGCCACCGUGCUGCAACUGCCUGGGGGACAGCAUUUUGGAUUGUAGAAAUGUACUGGUGCUCAUUCCUAAAUCCCGGCUGAGCUGGACGGCCUCCACUCACUUGUUUCCCUAAGCAGCCAUUACUUCUGUAAAACCAAGAGGGAGGUUUAAGAUAUUUCGGAUCCCAUUUCCCGGCCACAGUCUGCUGCAGUUACAGUGAUGAACUCUGCUUUAGUGAGUUAAAGUGAAGCCUCAAUGAAGAUCUCUGGCCCACAGAACAUCUGCUGUGACUCAACCUUUGCAAUGUUCCUUCCACUGCCUAUAAAUUCAGUGCAAUUUUAAACAAGGCUGAGUGACAAGAUUACUGGUUGAUAAAUUACAUCCCCCUCCCACAUACUCCCUUUAUUUUGGGGGAGGUGUGGGGAUUUCAUCUUUUUCAUUUCAUCUGUCAAAAUACUCCAGGUUUCACACAUUAAGAGCCCAAGAAAGACAACGGCAGUUUCUUUAUUCACGUCUUUAUUGAAUCAUCUGCACGGUUUAUGCGUCUGCGAUGGUAACCUCGACCUCAACGCCGGGCUCGAUGCUGAUGGAGGUGAUCUGCUUGACGAUUUCAGAUGGGCUGUGCAGAUCGAUCAGGCGCUUGUGAAUCCUCAUCUGGAAGCGAUCCCAGGUUUUGGAUCCCUCACCACAGGGAGUCUUUCUGGUGGUGAUACGCAGAGUCUGGAACGGGGGCAGAGAAACCAGAACUUAGCGCCAUCAAAUGAAAACAAGAAUCCAGAACACCAAAUUGACAAGCACGUUGUGGGUUGCUAGACUUUUAUUUUCCCUCUUUUAAAAA